CUCUUAUUCAGAGUGGUGGAGGUACAUAGGACCUGCGAAGCCACGGCAACCCCUCAAAGGAAGGUGCCAACCUGAGCGAGCUUUUCGAACAAUAAGAG
rnacentral:ncRNA from 2 species